GGAUGACUGAAGCUAUCACCUUGCUAAUCCUUGCUGUCCAAACUGGCCUCAUUGAGCUGCAGGAGUUUGUGGAAGCACUUCCGUGCAGUUUCUCUCUGUCUCUUCCUGCUGAUCUUUCCAGCGUACAUGGCUUAUAUGAUCUGCCAGUUCUUCCACAUGGACUUCUGGCUUCUCAUCAUCAUCUCCUCCUCAAUCCUCACCUCUCUCCAGGUGCUUGGCACUCUGUUGAUCUGUUGUUCUCUUCAUGGUGGAGGAGUUUCGUAAAGCUCCAGUGUAGAACAUGGAUGAAGUCAUAUAUUGUGUAAAUGGGAGCUACAGAUUGCUGGAGUUUCUGCUAUG